rnacentral:rRNA from 1 species
UACGUAGGGUGCGAGCGUUGUCCGGAAUUAUUGGGCGUAAAGAGCUCGUAGGCGGUGUGUCACGUCGUUCGUGAAAACCUGCAGCUUAACUGUGGGCGUGCGGUCGAUACGGGCAUCACUGGAGUUCGGCAGGGGAGACUGGAAUUCCUGGUGUAGCGGUGAAAUGCGCAGAUAUCAGGAGGAACACCGGUGGCGAAGGCGGGUCUCUGGGCCGAUACUGACGCUGGAGGAGCGAAAAGCGUGGGGGAGCAAACAGG